rnacentral:rRNA from 1 species
AGGGAAUCUUCCACAAUGGACGCAAGUCUGAUGGAGCAACGCCGCGUGAGUGAAGAAGGUCUUCGGAUCGUAAAGCUCUGUUGUUGGUGAAGAAGGAUAGAGGCAGUAACUGGUCUUUAUUUGACGGUAAUCAACCAGAAAGUCACGGCUAACUACGUGCCAGCAGCCGCGGUAAUACGUAGGUGGCAAGCGUUGUCCGGAUUUAUUGGGCGUAAAGCGAGCGCAGGCGGAAUGAUAAGUCUGAUGUGAAAGCCCACGGCUCAACCGUGGAACUGCAUCGGAAACUGUCAUUCUUGAGUGCAGAAGAGGAGAGUGGAACUCCGUGUGUAGCGGUGGAAUGCGUAGAUAUAUGGAAGAACACCAGUGGCGAAGGCGGCUCUCUGGUCUGCAACUGACGCUGAGGCUCGAAAGCAUGGGUAGCGAACAGGAUUAGAUACCCUGGUAGUCCAUGCCGUAAACGAUGAGCGCUAGGUGUUGGGGACUUUCCGGUCCUCAGUGCCGCAGCAAA